CGCGUGAUGACGUGACAAAGGGAAAUAGGGAUUCAUUUUUAUAUAUAUAGAUAGGUCAAGUAAUAUAAACGGCAUUAUUAUGGUUAUGUACUAUCAAUACGUGCCACUAUCUACAUCACGAAAUUAUUAAUCUAGGUAUAUAAUACGCGACUGGAAGUCGAGACAAACAUGUUAACAACAGCUAUAUGUGGGUGUGGGUGCCCUUUAACCACCCAUUUCAAGUCCCUCACUGGAUAUUUUGAUGAGGUUAACACACGUUCAAAACGAUAACAUAGGUACGAAAUGACCAAAUACUAUAUGUACAACAUAAGGGUGGAUCCGCAAGAUUUGGACAGUAGACGCCAGAAGUCGGCGUGUGCGCAAUGAAUAGGAUUUCCAAAACCAUACGGAUUUAAUUUGUGCAAGAAACUCCAACAAAUAUGUAAACCCUAGCUAUAAGUAAUGUCCUCCCAAUCGAAACACAACAUUGCAUACAUACAGCUGCUUGACGAGAGUAGGGGUUACUCGCAGCUUUGCUGGCUUGAAACGCCUUUCCCGCUACAAACGAGCCAAAUGCAUUCCCCCAUUGCAACGGUACGAUGCAAGCGCCAUCUGUUUGAAAGUCAUAGCUAAAAAUUCAAUUAUUUCCAACGGGAGCAAAUUGUCGGAAUAAAAAGGAGCCUUUGAGUUAAUCCAGAAAAUAGUCUUAAGAUAAGAUUAGUACAAAACGGCGUAAGGCAAUGACGACGUGGGCCUCCGUCCACGAUAUCGAAGCGGUAUGGCAUGGCGAUCCAAGCGGCCUCGCGCCUCUAAGGUUUGUACAGCUCAUC